rnacentral:rRNA from 1 species
CAGUCGCCGCGGGAAUACGUAGGUGGCAAGCGUUAUCCGGAAUUAUUGGGCGUAAAGCGCGCGUAGGCGGUUUUUUAAGUCUGAUGUGAAAGCCCACGGCUCAACCGUGGAGGGUCAUUGGAAACUGGAAAACUUGAGUGCAGAAGAGGAGAGUGGAAUUCCACGUGUAGCGGUGAAAUGCGUAGAGAUGUGGAGGAACACCAGUGGCGAAGGCGACUCUCUGGUCUGUAACUGACGCUGAGGAGCGAAAGCGUGGGGAGCGAACAGGAUUAGAUACCCCCGUAGUCCCUGUCUCUUAUAA